AUGGGGAAGAGAAAGACUCAUAGCAACAUCAUCGUCAUUAGACACGUAGAUUUGGGUGAGUCCACCACUAUUGGGCAUCUGAUCUACAAAUGUGGCAAGAUCAACAAGAUUACCACUGGAAAAUUUGAGAAGGAGGAUGCUGAGAUGGGAAAGGGCUCCUUCAAGUAUGCCUGGGUCUUGAAUAAACUGAAAGCUGAGUGCGAGUAUGGUAUCACCAUUGAUCUCUCCCUGUGGAAGUUUGAGAUCAGCAAAUAUGACAUGACUCUUAUUGAUGCCCCAGGACACAGAGACUUUAUCAAAAACAUGAUUACAGGCACAUCUCAGGCUGACUGUGCUGUCCUGAUUGUUGCUGCUGGUGUUGGUGAAUUUGAAGCUGGUAUCUCAGGAAAUGGGCAGACUCAUGGGCAUGCCCUUCUGGCUUACACACUGGGUGUGAAACAACUAAUUGUUGGUGUUAACAAAAUGGAUUCCACUGAGCCGCCCUAACAGCCAGAAGAGAUACUAGGAAAUCAUUAAGGAAGUCAGCACUUACAUUAAGAAAAUUGGCUACAACCCCAACACAGUAGCACUUGUGCCAAUUUCUGGUUGGAAUGGUGACAACGUGUUGGAGCCAAGUGCUAACAUGCCUUGGUUCAAGGGAUGGAACGUCACCCGUAAAGAUGGCAAUGCCAGUGGAACCACACUGCUUGAAACUCUGGACUGCAUCCUGCCACUAGCUCAUCAAACUGACGAGCCCCCACCUCUGCCUUUCCAGGAUGUCUACAGAAUUGGUGGUAUUGGUUCUGUUUCUGUGGGCCAAGUGGUGGAAGAACGAUCUCAAAACUAUUUGUUUUAAUUGGCCAUUUAAGUUUUCAUAGUAAAAGAC